CCUACGGGAGGCAGCAGUGGGGAAUAUUGCACAAUGGGGGAAACCCUGAUGCAGCAACGCCGCGUGAAGGAAGACGGUUUUCGGAUUGUAAACUUCUAUCAGCAGGGAAGAAGAUGACGGUACCUGACUAAGAAGCCCCGGCUAACUACGUGCCAGCAGCCGCGGUAAUACGUAGGGGGCAAGCGUUAUCCGGAUUUACUGGGUGUAAAGGGAGCGUAGACGGCAGGGCAAGUCUGGAGUGAAAGCCCGGGGCUCAACCCCGGGACUGCUUUGGAAACUGCCAUGCUGGAGUGCUGGAGAGGUAAGCGGAAUUCCUAGUGUAGCGGUGAAAUGCGUAGAUAUUAGGAGGAACACCAGUGGCGAAGGCGGCUUACUGGACAGUAACUGACGUUGAGGCUCGAAAGCGUGGGGAGCAAACAGGAUUAGAUACCCCAGUAGUC
rnacentral:rRNA from 1 species